GAAUCUUCCGCAAUGGACGAAAGUCUGACGGAGCGACGCCGCGUGUGUGAAGAAGGUCUUCGGAUUGUAAAGCACUUUAAGUUGGGAGGAAGGGCAGUAAGCGAAUACCUUGCUGUUUUGACGUUACCGACCGAAUAAGCACCGGCUAACUCUGUGCCAGCAGCCGCGGAAAUCCAGAGGGUGAAAGCGUUAAUCGGAAUUACUGGGCGUAAAGCGCGCGUAGGUGGUUCGUUAAGUUGGACGUGAAAUCCCCGGGCUCAACCUGGGAACUGCAUCCAAAACUGGCGAGCUAGAGUAGGGCAGAGGGUGGUGGAAUUUCCUGUGUAGCGGUGAAAUGCGUAGAUAUAGGAAGGAACACCAGUGGCGAAGGCGACCACCUGGGCUCAUACUGACACUGAGGUGCGAAAGCGUGGGGAGCAAACA
rnacentral:rRNA from 1 species